rnacentral:rRNA from 1 species
UACGUAGGGUGCAAGCGUUGUCCGGAAUUACUGGGCGUAAAGCGCAUGUAGGCGGCGAUUCAAGUCGGUGGUGAAAUCCUGGAGCUCAACUCCAGAACUGCCUUCGAUACUGAGAGUCUCGAGUCCGGGAGAGGUGAGUGGAACUGCGAGUGUAGAGGUGAAAUUCGUAGAUAUUCGCAAGAACACCAGUGGCGAAGGCGGCUCACUGGCCCGGUACUGACGCUGAGGUGCGAAAGCGUGGGGAGCAAACAGG